UUUACCCACCAAACCAAGGCUUGUCAAUUAUAUAAAGCAAGAGCUGUGAAGAAAUCUGAAACCAUUAUGUGAAUGGCUACUCUUAAGCCAAUCUGACUUCUUAAUCCUAAUCUCAUCCAUUCACUCUUCCACACGGGUAUUCAAGGUUGGUUUGGUUUCAAUUGAUUUGCUGUUGAGUCAAAAGAUGAUCAACUUCUUAAAGUUGAAACCACAACCAAACCAGCAAACGUUAACAUUAUAACGAAAACAAAACGAAAUAUUUUCAAUUUAAUAUCAUUUCGAGCUCAAUAUGCGCUAAAACUACUACCCACUUUUAACAAAAUUGUUGCUCCACUUCUUCAUAAUCAGCCACGAACUAAUUGACAACACCAUAAUUUGAAGAACAAACAAAAAUGCUUGUAAUUAACACUUUAAAAAAAUAAAAAUAAAGUAAAAAAGGCAAAUGUGUACCUAUAUCAUCGGUUUGCUGGGUUGCUUUGGGUUACUUCGGCUUCCCAAAGAAUCAAUUUCUACCUUAAUUCUCAAAAAAUCAACUUUGCAAAUAAUUUAGUGCGGUGUUUGGUAAAUGAAGAUAUUUGACAAUUACUUAUCAAAUAAUCUAUUAUACACGUUUGGUAAGUGAAAAUGUGCAAAUGCAAUGACA
rnacentral:lncRNA from 1 species